UGAGGAAUAUUGGUCAAUGGGCGGAAGCCUGAACCAGCCAUGCCGCGUGCAGGACGACGGCCCUACGGGUUGUAAACUGCUUUUCCGGGGGAAGAAUAACCCCCCUGCGGGGGGGGAUGCCGGUACCCCGGGAAUAAGGAUCGGCUAACUCCGUGCCAGCAGCCGCGGUAAUACGGAGGAUCCUAGCGUUAUCCGGAUUUACUGGGUUUAAAGGGUGCGUAGGCGGGCGUUUAAGUCCGCGGUGAAAGUCUGCGGCUCAACCGUAGGAUUGCCGUGGAUACUGGACGUCUUGGAUUCGGUCGGGGCGGGCGGAAUGCGUGGUGUAGCGGUGAAAUGCAUAGAUAUCACGCAGAACGCCGAUAGCGAAGGCAGCUCGCCGGGCCGAAAUCGACGCUGAGGCACGAAAGCGUGGGGAUCAAACAGG
rnacentral:rRNA from 1 species